rnacentral:rRNA from 1 species
GAUGAACGCUGGCGGCGUGCUUAACACAUGCAAGUCGAACGAAGCACUUUAUUUGAUUUCCUUCGGGACUGAUUAUUUUGUGACUGAGUGGCGGACGGGUGAGUAACGCGUGGGUAACCUGCCUUGUACAGGGGGAUAACAGUUGGAAACGGCUGCUAAUACCGCAUAAGCGCACAGCAUCGCAUGAUGCAGUGUGAAAAACUCCGGUGGUAUAAGAUGGACCCGCGUUGGAUUAGCUAGUUGGUGAGGUAACGGCCCACCAAGGCGACGAUCCAUAGCCGACCUGAGAGGGUGACCGGCCACAUUGGGACUGAGACACGGCCCAAACUCCUACGGGAGGCAGCAGUGGGGAAUAUUGCACACUGGGCGAAAGCCUGAUGCAGCGACGCCGCGUGAGCGAAGAAGUAUUUCGGUAUGUAAAGCUCUAUCAGCAGGGAAGAUAAUGACGGUACCUGACUAAGAAGCACCGGCUAAAUACGUG